rnacentral:rRNA from 1 species
AGGACGAACGCUGGCGGCGUGCUUAACACAUGCAAGUCGAACGGUGAAGCCUUUCGGGGUGGAUCAGUGGCGAACGGGUGAGUAACACGUGGGCAAUCUGCCCUGCAUUCUGGGACAAGCCUUGGAAACGAGGUCUAAUACCGGAUACGACACAUCCCCGCAUGGGGUGUGCGUGGAAAGCUCCGGCGAUGCAGGAUGAGCCCGCGGCCUAUCAGCUUGUUGGUGGGGUGAUGGCCUACCAAGGCGACGACGGGUA